rnacentral:tRNA from 1 species
AGAAACUUAAGUUAAACUAAACUAGGAGCCUUCAAAGCCCCAAAUAAAUUAUUUUAGUUUCUG